UUUUUUUUUUGAGUGGACUAGUAAAUAUAGUAUGUCAUAUAAACAAUUUUCAACUUAAGGCGUAUGACAAAAGAAAAGGUGUGUAAAAAGAAUAUCUAUACAAGUUGAGGGGAUAUAUCAAAAUCUUUAGAAACUUCAAGGAGCUUAAAUGAAUUAUCCGUUUUUAUAACCCGAUAUGCUGAAACACAAAUUCGGGUUAACGGGUUUUCUUAAACCUUAGAAACCUGCAACCAGACACUAUUACCAAUACCUCUACUAGAGGUUAACAAUGGUGCUUAUAAUCCAAAACCCAGCUGUAUUUUCAAUGAAAUUAUCAGCAAGUUUUGGCCUUUUACAUUCUUCUCCCAAAAUUGUGUCUUCUUCUUCUUCUUCUUCCCUUUUCUCUGUCCGUUGCUAUUCUGCUGUUUCACAAAGGCCCCUCCGGUUAGUUAGUAAGCCAAUGGGGAGAGUGUACAUUACACUGUCUUUUUAAUUUUUUUUUCUUUUUUUUUUCUCUUCUCAAUUGGGUUUUGUUUGGAUUUUAUAUUCAGAUAUGCAGUUCUUGGUGCUGGAUUUGCCGGGCUGUCUGUUGCUUGGCAUUUGUUGCAGGUAUUAUGCAGUAUGUGUUACACUUUCUUAGCUGAGUUCACAAUAGUUAAUCCUGUUCAUAAAGUCAGAUUUUACAAUGGGUUUAAGUUAUUUAUAAUUGAGGUUAUAUGUUAGCUAAUUACACGCUACUGUCUAUAAUAAGUGUGUUGCUAACCUGGGAAAUAAGGUAAGCACCAUGUAAAAAAUAUUUACAGUGUAUUUAUAUAUUCCCUUCGUUCCAAUGUGCUUGACAAUAUUUUCUUAUCAGUCCGUUCCAAAAAGAUUGAUACAUUUAUGUAUUUGAAAACAAUUAUUUUUAAACUUCCCAUUUUAAGAAACUUUUAUAGCCACAAGUUUAAGACCACAAGUUUUAAAAGUCUUUGUGUCGAGUCAAACUAUACCAAACAAAUUGGAAUGGAUGGAGUAUAUUUAGAUCCUUUUACAAUUGUUUUCUUCUUUUAGCAAAUUCAUUUUAUCUGAGUCUAUAGUGUUAAAUAAUACAAGUAAAUUGCAACAACAAGUUAAAGUACCCUAGCUGUCUACCAAAUCUUUGAGCUUGUAUAACUUAAAUCCGUUGACAACUUAUUUUAUCUAUGAGUCAUAAUGCUAAGUUACUUGCUCCUUUUUAGUUCAAUUGUCAUAGGCUUACAGCUGCAUCUUUUAUUUAUGUUUUGCAGCAAAGUUCUGAGGAAUUGAAUUUACGUAUAGAUAUAUAUGAUGAAGUUGGUGUUGGUGGAGGUGCAUCUGGAAUGUCUGGUGGACUCCUUCAUCCCUACUCUCCCAAAGGUUGUUGUGAACGCUUUUACUAGUUGGGUUCAGAGUUCUUCCUUCAAAUUAAUUCCUUACACUGUCUCUCAACAUUUGCUUAAAGAUUUAGAAUUUAUUUUUACUGUUAUUCCUUUUUGAGAUUUAACUCAAAAUUUGCAGUUAAGCUUCUGUGGCGGGGAGAAGAAUGCUGGAAAGAAAGUUUAAAGCUUCUAAAUAUUGCUGAAGAUGCUCGAUCAAAUCCAGAAACUGUAGCAAAAGAAGGUGGCUUUAUAGUCAGGAGAAGGUUAGCAGUGUAAAGCAUGUUAUAUAUAAGCUGCUAAGAAGAUGUCUUGAUAUAUGCUUUUGGGUAUAAUGGAAAUGAGUUCGAAUUUUAAAAAAUGUAAAAAAAAAAAAGGUGAUACAUUUUUCUUUGAUUUUAAGCGUUUUAGUUUAAAUCACUGACCGAAAGAAAAGUAAGUCCAAAUAAUUUUACUUCCAACAAGAAAAGUAAAGAAGGGGGGAAGAUAUUCACUGUUGCAUCCUGUUUUUAACUUGCUUUCCUUGUGAAUCCAAUUUGUCUUUAGCAUCACAUUAAGCAUAUUCCAUUAACAAAUCCCUCGUUGGUGUAGUUUGUACUUAGUAUUAUCUGCCAAUUUACUAUGUACUCAUGAUUGAACUGAAGCAGUUUAGCUGAGCGUAUAAGUGAACCUUUUCUUUCUUUAAAUAUUUUCACUACCAUUAGUUGGAAAACUGAUAUGUACACUUUAGUCGACCCAAUGCCCUAGACUCAAGAUCUUUUAUUCCUUCAUUGAGCUUCUAUUUUCUUUGUAUUAUACGGAAGAGGUGUAUCCAUCUUUUUAGUGUCUAAGCAAAUUGGUUUGAAUGAUUAACAGUGGAAUCGUGAGACCAGCACUCUCUGUGAAGAAAAUGGACAUGAUGAAUGAUGUGAGUACAUCAAAUUAUUACAUGGAAUAAGAAACUUAUAUGUAAUUUCAUGAUUAUGGGAAUGUGUCUUCUUGUCCUUGAGUAGAAUGCUCAAAACUGCAUUGCCAGCUGCAGAAUAAAGUCAAUUCACAAGGAUGCUGCACAGAAGCUGGUACCUGGUUUGUGUGUGCCCCUGGACUUGGCGUUCCAUAUGCGUGAAGCUGUGAAUGUUCAUCCUCAGAAUUAUCUUGAGGUCUGGAGGGAGAAGUCCUAAUAACUAUAGAACUCUGAACUAGUCCCUAUUCCUUUAUUUCGUUAAGGUGUUUUUACUGUUGAUUAUCUCUCAGGCUCUCUACUUAGCAUGCAGAACUUUUGUGGAAUCCAAGUGCAGUUCAGGCAUUUCAUGUAAAGAGUUAUAUCUGCACAAGAAAUCAGUUCAUAAUCUUCAAGAAUUAGCAGGUAUUUUAUUGAAUCACCUUAGCUUCCUUGGAUUCCAACUGUAGCUUUGUAUCACCAGAAAAAAUGUAGUCAAGAAGUGGUUUCUCAUAUACAAGUGAAGUAGCAAAACAAACAUUUCUCCUUUCAUUUGUUUUUUCUUUUCUUAAAAAGAAAAAUCUUGUUGAUAAUAAAUUCAAGAGCUUGCAACCUCCACUCUCUAGGUGAACUGUUUACUUGCUUCAUACAACAGAAUGAGGGUAAAAUUAAUUCAAUUUCUUCUCUUUUGUCCAAAGUGAAGGGGUUAAUAAGCUAACUGGGACGAUUGCAUUAUCAUCCGCUUUUCCUAAACAAAUAAGGGAAUUAACUUUGCUGCUUCUCUUUGUACUCCUCAAAGGUACUGUUAAGACUUAGACUUCUAACGGUGAAUACCUUUAUUUUGUGAAGAGUCUAGACUAGGUCGGAGUUGGAUUUUUUUACCUAUUAUAGGUUUCUUUGGGCAGAAUGUGCUAGUGUUUAAAGCAAACCGAUCAAUUAUUUAGGCGAUUUUCUAUUUUUUGGCGGUCCUGUCUAAUUCUAGUGAUUAGCAUGUUCUUUUCAGGUGAAUAUGACAGCAGACUGAUCAAUGACUUUAGGUGAUUUUAUUGUUUCAUGAUCUUGUCAAUUUUAGUGAUUUGCAUAUUCUUUUCAGGUGAAUAUGAUGCAGUCAUCGUAUGUCUAGGUGCUAGAGCAGCUUUUCUUCCUGAGUUCUCUGGAAGGCUUCCUUUGAGGACAUGUAGAGGUGUUAUUGCUCACUUGCAGCUCCCUGAUCACAUCAGGUACAUGUGUGUAAUUCCCAUAUCAAGCAGAAUUUCCUUUUUCUAUUUCCUUUCAAAUAUGCCAAACCCCAACCACAUGCCUCUUCCUCUCUCCCCCCCACCCCCAGGGCCAAACAGUGCCCCCCCCCCCAGAUGAUUCAAACCCCCUAAUCUCAUAGAUUGAAGGUGGAAGGUUCUUUCCACUAUGCCAACCCACUCUUGUCUCAAGAAGAUGAGUUCAAACCUUGAGAACUGGGGUGUCUUGAUAUCUUUAUAGUUUAUACAUCUCUUACAUGGAUAUAUCUACAGUGUCCAUCAGAUAUCUCCAUUUUCUUGAUAUCCUCAUUUUUAUCCAUACUUUAUUUGCUAAAUAUUAUAAAGAAAAUAUGACAUUGAAUGACUUUUGUAAUUUUCCCAUAUAUCAUGAAUAUAUUCUUUAGCAAUGAAGUGACAUUUUUAUGGGGAAUACUGAAAUAUCCUAUCUUUAAAUACGUCGAUGUAUUUACAUUAGUCUUUCUUGAUUGUACAUCAGACUUUGAUGACAAUAAGUCUCUCAUGAUUGUGAUAGGCUAAUUGUAAUUACUUUCCCGUUUUCAUACCUUGCAUUUCAUUCCAUAGAGCAAGGCGUGUCAAAUGAGCUGUUUACACGGGUUUUUCAAAAGCAUGGUCACAAUUUAGACAAUUACCCCAAAAGGUAAUCCACAGCUAAAAACUGCCAAUGGGUGAAAAACUGCUAUUUCGGACCUGUGGGAAAUUACUGGGCUUCUUGUUGUUGUUGCUUCAUGAAGCUAUUCCAGCUCCUUGUGUCCCUUUAUUCUUCUUUCUGGAUAACAGAAUAUCUGUAUACAGUAAUAUUUAUUUGAGAAGAUUGAGUUUAGUUGGUUCUGAUUUCUAGCAUGAGGGAUUUGUUGCCUAGUUCAAUUUUCAACCUACCAUCAUCAUCCCCCCCCCCAACAAAAAAAAAAAACCUUUUUUGAUGUGUCCUCUGCUAUUUUCUUCUAUGUCGAGUAUCUAAGGCACAAAGUUAUUGGUUGAAAUUAUUUUAACAUUCAUUGCUUCCAACAUGCAACUUAUUAGAAGUUUUUCUGAAUGAUAAACUUCAGAGAGGAGUAUCCAGAGCACAGUCCUUCCAUUCUUUCAGAUGCAUGGCUUGCUAUUCAGGGACCUCGAACGUUGUACUUGGGGUCAACGUGGGAAUGGAAAUCGAGGAAUUAUUCCAGACAUGUCCCAGAAGAAGAAGCUUCUAAAGCUCUUGAAGAGUUACUGCCAAAGGCAUCUGCUGUAUAUCCAGCAAUAAAAGAUUGGACCGUAACAGGAGCAUGUGCAGGGCUAAGGGCAAUGCCACCACUCACUGCAGAAGGAUCACCUCCACUCUUGGGUUGUAUAGAUGAAUUCAUUGGUUGUCGGAGCAAGUGUAAGUACUGGUUAUUUACAGGCCUUGGUUCCAGGGGUUUGUUCUACCAUGCUUGGCUUGGAAAACUAAUGGCAAAGGCUGUUCUUUCAUGUAAUGAAGACUUGAUCCCUUCUGAACUAACUUCAUGGAAACAUAGAGUGAAGCAGUAGGAGAAGAGAACGUCAAAUGUCCUCAUUAUUUUUCUUAUAAUAAUAUUGGACCAGAAUGGGCUUAAAUGGAGCGACAUGGACAAUGAUGAUUCAUAUAGCCGACCCCAAACCUGCUUGGGAUUGAGCGUUGUAGUAGUUCUUAAUGGAGCGAUAUGGAUAGUGAGAAAUCAUAUAAUUGACCAGAAACUUACUUGAAUUGAGGCGUAGUAGUUGCUGUUGUGGCUAGCGGUCUCUCCAACAACUUCACUUCCUUUCUAGUGGGAAAUGAUAGUCUUGCUCUAUUAUUGUAACAACAAAUUUUUUAAUGUAAAUGUAUAUUAAUGUAAUGGUAGGUUGUUGGGUUGCUAAAAGAAUAGAGAAAACUAAUUACUUUAUGUUUUGUAUGGUGCAAAAGCAUAUCUGGUUUUGUUUCUGGUUGUGUAAUCUUAUUAGUCACAUCUAAUUUGCUUGGAAUUGAGGCGCAGUCAUUAUUGUAUUGUGCAAAAGCACAAAAGAUGUAACUAAAGUUCAGAACUUUUAACAAUGAUGUAGUGUAGUAGUUUUUAUGUGUUAAGUCAGAAGGCUUUUUAGCAAGUAAAACAGAAGUUUUUUAUUUUUAUUUUUAUUUUUAUUUUUGAAGAUCAGCAGUACAUUCCUACUAUUAAUAAGGCACAGUUUAAGGAGCUUCGGGUCAACAUGGCUAAUGACAGAAAAAAUCAGGAUCUUAGUUAAAAUGCCAAUUAUAUGCUGACUUUGUAACCUGGGCCUAUAGGGUAUUUAUGUAACUAGCAAUAUACAGUUCCUUCAUUAAGCUUUUGGGUUUUUGAUAUAUGUGCCUAGCUUUCUAAAAUUGAAAGCCUUUUGAAUUCUAUCCUUAGCCUUUUUGAAUUUGUAUUUUCUCCGCUUUAACUUUGAUUUAAUUUAUUUCUUAGAGAAAAGAAGGUGGACAAUUAUUUUAAGGUUAAUUGAGUUUACUUGGUUUGACUAAAUCAAUAAAAUAUUUGAGCUUAAUUUUUAUUCUCUUCGAAAAUUUCUUGUGCAAAGUGGAGAAUAACACUAAGACUUUAUUUUCUUUUGCUAUUAGAAUUGAUCCUAUUUGAAAAUCUACACUAAUUAUUUGGUACUUUAGAAUGUCAUAAGAAAUUUCUAACAUACAACACAAAAAGAAGCAAAGAACUUUACAAAUAUUUCAGGAAUGGUUUAGAUUGUAUUGCCAAUAAUAGGUAGCUCACCUUAUGCUUAUGUGAUGUAUUUCUCAUAUUUUAAGUAUGUUAGUGGAGUAUCCUUUCUUACAAAUCAUGAGUUAACAAAAUUACUUUUUGAAGAGCAGGCUGUAAAAUGACGAACAAAAUAAUAUAUCAUCGCUUAUGAAUGGUUGUUGAGAAGAUUAAGUUGAAGUGAAUAAAAGAACGAACUACUAUUUUUUCUUUCUUUCAUAGAGUAUCAAGUAUUUUGGAAAUAGCAAGAAAUGCCAUGUGUAUCAUAUUUGUAAACUUUAUCUUAAAUGAAAUAAUUCGCAUCUUUGACAAGUUAUGAUUGUGUAUAUUUUUCUCUAAUGCAACAACAACAACAGUAUAAUCCCACUAGUGGAGUUUACGCAGACCUUACCCCUACCCUGAGGUAGAGAGGCUAUUUCCGAUAGACCCUCGGCUCCAUCCCUCCAAGAACUCUUCACCCUGCUCUUGGGAUGACUCGAACUCAUAACCUCUUGGUUGAAAGUGGAUGGUGCUUACCACUAGAGCAACUCACUCUUGUCAAGUUAUGAUUAGUAAACUUUAUCUUAAAUGAAAUAAUUCGCUUCUUUGACAAGUUAUGAUUGUGUAUAUUUUUCUCUAAUACACGACAUCUUUAUACAUUAGUUAUUCGGGAGCACCCAUAGCUUUGACUGUAGUGGGAAGCCCUUGUGAAAAAAAAUUAAUUAGUGCAUUAUAAAAAUAAUAUUAUUUCUACGGAAGGACCAAAUAAUAUUUUUAUUAGUGUACUUAUAAAUUCAGGUAUGACCUUACAUUUAAAUGUAAGUUGUGGUUGUUACUAUUGUGUUGUUGAAAUAUGUUAUUUACUAUUCUUUGUAUAUGUAGCAGAAAUGAGAAACUUAAUAUGAAAUUGGUAAGAAGAAUCACAUAAUCUGGACUGUGAAAAUAUUUUUGUUCUAUCAAUUUAAAAUCUCAAUUUUCCAUCUUAAAUAACUUGAUUUAACAAGAAUUCCACAAUGUGGAGUGCAAUUGAAAUUCUUGGUUAUCUUAUUUUUUUUUAUUUCUCAGCAAAUACGUAGAAUUGGUAAGUAAAAAAGAAUCUACAAAAUUACUAAAAUGAAGUUCAUCCAAAUUAAAUUAAAGAUUUAUGUUGAAUUUGGGCCUACAACUUCAUAUGCACUCAAUAUGAUCAUAUUAAAAUGGAAGUAGUAUUCACUAUUAUUUGGGGUUACUUAAAAGGGCGAUAUUAAUUGAGAUAAUUAAUAAGGAAACACAUGUAAUUGAAGUUGUUUAUAUGCCACGAAAACCACAUACUCCUCCGGUCUACUUUAAUUUAAUUUUUGUUUGUUUUCAUAUAUUAUGGAAUUCACCUUUUAGCAUUAAUUAACAAUAUGACCAUAUUAACCUUAAUUUACUCAUUGAAAAUAUAACAAAUACUCCUAGGCUUUUUAUUCCAAGGCCAACUUAAAAUAAAUAAAUUAAUCCUUUCUUGAUAUCUGAAAAAUCAAAUAUUGUGGACUAUAAAAAAAGAUUAAAAAAUUAAUUAAAGGGAGCAUGAGGAAGUAUUAAUUAGUGUGCCAAACUUUACAUUUUCACAGAACAAUGUAAAUUAGUUCAAGUUUUGGAUUGGGCCGGUGCUAAGCAAGGGCUAACUGCCACUAGUUAGUCAUAUAAGAGAGAAUGUUUUGAUCUAUAUUACAUGUCAACUAUGAGUUCUUCACCCUUAAUAAAGUUUGAUAAUAACCAGGAAUAAUAGAAUUUAAACAUAAGUUUGUGAAUUGAAAAAAAAAAUGGAUGUCUUUGUUUUCUUAGAAAGCCUUGGAACCAAAAUUAAUUGCUUUUAUUAACAACUUGCUUCAAAUAAUUUGGGAUCCAGAUAGAGUUGAUUGGUUAAUUAAUCUUUUCUUUUUGUGCAAGUGAGGCCAUAAAUUGCAGGCUUCUUUAAUUUUCUUUACAAGAUUUAUUUAUAAUAUUCUUCAUCUUUAUUUUAUUCUACUUUAAAAAAAAAGGAAAUUCUUUCCUCCCCCCUUCUCUUUGCUGUAUUUCCUUGUUCUUUUAGUUGAAAAAAGCAAGACGAAACCAUGCAUGACAACAUGCACAUUGAAGCUAUAAAUAGUAUUAAUAUAAGUAGGUUAUUUCUAUUAAUAUUCCCAAUAACCUUACAAACUACAUUAUUACAAUAACAUCUUCAACCUAUUACAUAUACAUAACUACAUAUUUUUUCCAUUGCUUUUCAUGUCACUCUACUCCCUUUAUCUGCAUCAACUCUCAUUUAUUGAUUUGCCGCAAAAAAAAAUAAUAAUAAUCAUUUCUAUAGAGGAACUCCAUUUGCAACACAAAGUAAUUCAAAAGAUUGUGGAGACAAAGAGAUUUGUUCUAACCAAAUAAGAUAUAGCAUACAACAUAUAGAUAGGAUAAAUUACUAUACAAAAUAACUACUAGUUACAAUUUUUUUCUUUUAUUUUCUAUUUUUUUCUAUAGAUAACUGUUAAUACUCAAGAUUUUUUUUUAAAUGAACAGCUAUCCCUUUGUUGUUCAACAAAACAAUAUCCUCAUCCAACAUAAUGCCAGCUGAAAAAUGUCCAUCCUUAUAUGGGAAAAAAAGAAAGUUGAUUUGAUUUGCAGCUUCUUUAGACAGUAUAGUGUUGUUGGAUUGUUUCAAUAUCUAGUCCCUUUAGCUUGACCACUGAUUCAACAUGUCCCUUUAGAGUGUGUAGCUCUCUCAACCUGCAAUAACAUAGUUCUUGUAAGUAUAGGUUUGUGUCACUCAAAACAAUUUAUCAUAGUAAUUUCACAUCAAUAGGUCCUUGGAGCAGCGGUCAAGUUGUGUUCGUGUGACCUAUAGGUCAGGGGUUCGAGCCGUGGAAUCAGUCAUUGUUGCUUGCAUUAGGCUGCCUACAUCACACCCUAUUGGGGUGCGGCCCUUACUUGGACCCUUCGUGAAUGUGGGAUACUUUGUGCACGGGGCUGUCCUUGGAGCAACAGUCAAGUUGUCUCCGUGUGACCUAUAGCUCAGGAGUUCGACCCGUGAAAUCAGCCACUGAUGCUUGCAUUAGGCUGCUUACAUCACACCCUCUUGGGGUGCGACCCUUCCCUGGACCCUGUGUGCAUGUGAGAUACUUUGUGCACCGGGCUGUCCUUGGAGCAACAGUUAAAUUGUCUCCGUGUGACCUAUAGGUCAGGGGUUCGAGCCGUGGAAUCAGCCACUGAUGCUUGCAUUAGGCUGCCUACAUCACACUCUCUUGGGGUGCGGCCCUUCCCUGGACCCUGCAUGAAUGCAAGAUGUUUUGUGCACCUGACUGCCCUUUUUAAUUUAGCAUCUAUGAUAUUGUUCAUAUACCUUGCAACUUCAGCACGACGUUUAGCCUGCUCGGCAAUCUCGGACAAUUCCCUGUAGUUCUUGUCAUUGAAUAGGCCAGUGUUUUCUGGUGUCUGGAGACCGUGAAGUGUACGUUGAGCUAAAGCCCAUUGUGCUUCCCUUUCACCCCUUCCAUAGUCCUUCUUGGUUGUGAAGGCAGUCUAAUAUAUUCAAGAAAUGAUAUUACUAAUUAGUCAAGAAUAGAAUUCAAUGGAAAUGUUCAUGUUAUGUCAAUUUUUGUUGCUUCUUUUACCUUGUUCUGGAUCAUUGAAUCCCAUGCCCUUCCACUCAAAGCGAAACGGAUGAUGAAUUUAAGAAUAUCAAGAGGGAUAUAGGUAAUAAUAGUGUAGAUCCAGAUAACUGCUGCCCAUCCCCAACCAACUCCCUUGAUCCUGGCAAAUUCCCAGUUUGCAUAUACAGCGAGCACGGUAGCAACCUGGAAAAAAUAGGAGAAAAUUAUGAAUUUCAGGUAGCCACAUAUUGAAAACCAACAACAACAAACCCAGUGUAAUCCCAUAAUGUGGAGUCGGGGGGUGUACGCAGACCUUCCCCUACCUUCGAGAAGGUAGAGAGGCUGUUUCCGAUAGAACAACACAUUAAAAACCAAGUCAAGUAAUUCAUUUUUCAAGAUCCUUACCAAUUGGGCGGCAAAGAAGGCAGCAACAAGCAUAAGGCCAGGGCGUUCGACGAAUGACCAGCUUCUUGAUCUGGUCACAAAGAUGAGAGCUUGACUAAUAAUGCUCACUUGAAGGUAUAGUGCAGCUGUAAGCUCAGUUGGAGAGUUUCUGAUUGAUCUAACAUGGAAGUUUUCCUGCACAUAUAUGAUAAAAUUUGUUAGUUUAUUUCAUGUUAUGUUUUCAAUUUUUGUUUAAGUUUAGGGGGAGAAUAACAUACAGAGAAGAAAUCAGUGUCAGCUGCAAGGUAGAAGAACACAACAGUCAUGAUCGCUUGGUAGGUCCCGAGUACAACACCAGUGGCAAAGAUUUCUUUGAGUUUCCACGAAUCGGGCAAUGGAGAUGGUUUCACCCUGUCCUUAGAGAUGGUCAUGAUAGUUCCAUCAUUGAGUAUGGCAAUGAUAAGGACCAUGAAUGGCGAGAAGUCGAACUUCCAGAUAAGGGCAAUGAGCAUGAAUCCCAUAACGACACGGAUUGUGAUGGAAACUGCAUAGAUGGUGUAGUUCUUCAUCCUCUGGAAGAUGGCUCUGCUUGUCAACACAGCACUCACGAUAACACUAAGACCUGGUUCAGUCAAGACGAUAUCAGAUGCACUCCUGGCAGCGUCUGUUGCAUCAUCGACAGCAAUACCAAUGUCUGCCUUCUUUAGUGCUGGUGCAUCGUUCACUCCAUCUCCUGUCAUACCGCAGAUAUGGUUUCUUUCUUGGAGCUUCUUCACAAUCUCAUAUUUAUGCUCUACACAAAAUCAAACCUUUUUAUGUUAGUUCUUUUGCCUAAACUUUUCUAUAUUGUAGUUCAAUGAUAGUACUACUAAUAUUUACCUGGGAAGACUCCGGCAAAACCAUCUGCCUUUUCAAUGAGCUCAUCGACAGGAAUUGAAGCAAUGGCUGCAUCUUUGUGCUCUCCAAGAAGAGCUGAAGAAGGAUACAUGUUGGUUCCCAUGCCAAGCCUACGGGCAGUUUCCUUACCGAUGGCGAGCUGGUCACCAGUGAUCAUCUUA
rnacentral:lncRNA from 1 species